CCGACGGUGAGGGGUGAAAGCUGGGGGAGCAAACCGGAUUAGAUACCCGGGUAGUCCCAGCUGUAAACGAUGCGCGUUAGGUGUGUCAGUGACCACGUGUCACUGAUGUGCCGAAGGGAAACCGUGAAACGCGCCGCCUGGGGAGUACGGUCGCAAGGCUGAAACUUAGAGGAACUGGCGGGGGAGCACCACAACGGGUGGGGCCUGCGGUUUAAUCGGACUCAACGCCGGAAAUCUCACCGGAUAA
rnacentral:rRNA from 1 species